rnacentral:tRNA from 1 species
GGAUACAUAGUUUAAACCUAAACCAUAACACUGAAAAUGUUAAAAUGGCAUAUGCCUGUCUCCA